rnacentral:rRNA from 1 species
GUCCUAGCCGUAAACGGUGGGCACUAGGUGUUGGAGGCAUCGACCCCUCCAGUGCCGCAGCUAACGCAUUAAGUGCCCCGCCUGGGGAGUACGGCCGCAAGGUUGAAACUCAAAGGAAUUGACGGGGGCCCGCACAAGCGGUGGAGCAUGUGGUUUAAUUCGACGCAACGCGAAGAACCUUACCCAGACUUGACAUGCACGUGACCGGCGUUGAAAGACGCCUUCUCUUCGGAGCACGUGCACAGAUGCUGCAUGGCUGUCGU